GAUGAACGCUAGCGGGAGGCCUAACACAUGCAAGCCGAGCGGGAUUUGUUGGUUAGCUUGCUAACUAACAAUGAGAGCGGCGUACGGGUGCGUAGCACGUGUGCAACCUGCCUUUAUCUGGGGGAUAGCCUUUCGAAAGGAAGAUUAAUACCCCAUAACAUAUUGAUUGGCAUCAGUUAAUAUUGAAAGCCCCGGCGGAUAGAGAUGGGCACGCGUAAGAUUAGCUAGUUGGUGAGGUAACGGCUCACCAAGGCUGCGAUCUUUAGGGGGCCUGAGAGGGUGAUCCCCCACACUGGUACUGAGACACGGACCAGACUCCUACGGGAGGCAGCAGUGAGGAAUAUUGGACAAUGGGUGAGAGCCUGAUCCAGCCAUCCCGCGUGAAGGACUAAGGACCUAUGGUUUGUAAACUUCUUUUAUACAGGGAUAAACCUACUCUCGUGAGGGUAGCUGAAGGUACUGUAUGAAUAAGCACCGGCUAACUCCGUG
rnacentral:rRNA from 1 species